AGCGAACGCUGGCGGCAGGCCUAACACAUGCAAGUCGAGCGGCCGUAGCAAUACGGCAGCGGCAGACGGGAGAGUAACACGUGGGAACGUACCUUUCAGUUCGGAACAACCAAGGGAAACGUUGGCUAAUACCGGAUACGCCCGUAAGGGGAAAGAUUUAUCGCUGAAAGAUCGGCCCGCGUCUGAUUAGCUAGUUGGUGGGGUAAUGGCCCACCAAGGCGACGAUCAGUAGCUGGUCUGAGAGGAUGAUCAGCCUCACUGGGACUGAGACACGGCCCAGACUCCUACGGGAGGCAGCAGUGGGGAAUAUUGGACAAUGGGCGCAAGCCUGAUCCAGCCAUGCCGCGUGGAUGAUGAAGGCCCUAGGGUUGUAAAGUCCUUUCGACGGGGAAGAUAAUGACGGUACCCGUAGAAGAAGCCCCGGCUAACUUCGUGCCAGCCGCCGCAGUAA
rnacentral:rRNA from 1 species